AGAGUUUGAUCAUGGCUCAGGAUGAACGCUGGCGGUAUGCUUUACACAUGCAAGUCGUACGAGAGUUUUUAACUCAAGUGGCGGACGGGUGAGUAACACGUAAGAAUUUGCCUUUAGGAGGGGGACAACAACUGGAAACGGUUGCUAAUACCCCAUAUGCUUUCGAGUGAAAUGGUUUUUCCGCCUAAAGAAAAGCUUGCGGCUGAUUAGCUUGUUGGUAAGGUAAUGGCUUACCAAGGCGACGAUCAGUAUCUGGUUUGAGAGGACGAUCAGACACACUGGAACUGAGACACGGUCCAGACUCCUACGGGAGGCAGCAGUGGGGAAUUUUCCGCAAUGGGCGAAAGCCUGACGGAGCAAUACCGCGUGAGGGAUGAAUGCCUAUGGGUUGUAAACCUCUUUUUUCAGGGAGGAAUAAAAUGACGUGUACCUGAAGAAUAAGCAUCGGCUAACUCCGUGCCAGCAGCCGCGGUAAGACGGAGGAUGCAAGUGUUAUCCGGAAUCACUGGGCGUAAAGCGUCUGUAGGUGGUUUAAUAAGUCAACUGUUAAAUCUUGAGGCUCAACCUCGAAACCGCAGUCGAAACUAUUAGACUAGAGUAUAGUAGGGGUAAAGGGAAUUUCCAGUGGAGCGGUGAAAUGCGUAGAGAUUGGAAAGAACACCGAUGGCGAAGGCACUUUACUGGGCUAUUACUAACACUGA
rnacentral:rRNA from 1 species